UACGAAGGGGGCUAGCGUUGCUCGGAAUCACUGGGCGUAAAGCACACGUAGGCGGAUUGCUAAGUCAGGGGUGAAAUCCUGGAGCUCAACUCCAGAACUGCCCUUGAUACUGGCGGUCUCGAGUCCGGGAGAGGUGAGUGGAACCGCGAGUGUAGAGGUGAAAUUCGUAGAUAUUCGCAAGAACACCAGUGGCGAAGGCGGCUCACUGGCCCGGUACUGACGCUGAGGUGCGAAAGCGUGGGGAGCAAACAGG
rnacentral:rRNA from 1 species